AACAGGAUUAGAUACCCUGGUAGUCCACGCCCUAAACGAUGUCUACUAGUUGUCGGGUCUUAAUUGACUUGGUAACGCAGCUAACGCGUGAAGUAGACCGCCUGGGGAGUACGGUCGCAAGAUUAAAACUCAAAGGAAUUGACGGGGACCCGCACAAGCGGUGGAUGAUGUGGAUUAAUUCGAUGCAACGCGAAAAACCUUACCUACCCUUGACAUGGCUGGAGUCCCCGAGAGAUUGGGGAGUGCUCGAAAGAGAACCAGUACACAGGUGCUGCAUGGCUGUCGUCAGCUCGUGUCGUGAGAUGUUGGGUUAAGUCCCGCAACGAGCGCAACCCUUGUCAUUAGUUGCUACGAAAGGGCACUCUAAUGAGACUGCCGGUGACAAACCGGAGGAAGGUGGGGAUGACGUCAAGUCCUCAUGGCCCUUAUGGGUAGGGCUUCACACGUCAUACAAUGGUACAUACAGAGCGCCGCCAACCCGCGAGGGGGAGCUAAUCGCAGAAAGUGUAUCGUAGUCCGGAUUGUAGUCUGCAACUCGACUGCAUGAAGUUGGAAUCGCUAGUAAUCGCGGAUCAGCAUGUCGCGGUGAAUACGUUCCCGGGUCUUGUACACACCGCCCGUCACACCAUGGGAGCGGGUUUUACCAGAAGUAGGUAGCUUAACCGCAAGGAGGGCGCUUACCACGGUAGGAUUCGUGACUGGGGUGAAGUCGUAACAAGGUAACC
rnacentral:rRNA from 1 species